UUAAAACUUGUUUUAAAACAAAAUUAGGUCACUUUUCUUUUUGUUUGAAAAUACAACAGCAGACUCAGCCCCCCUCCGCCGUUUCAGACUUCGACGAAACGAGGACGCCCUCCGACGACCCUCACGACGGUAAGUCCUCCUUUCUUUCUCCUUUUUCGUUUAUCUUCCAAAUAGUUUUUUUGAUUUUUCUUUGUUUGUAUUUCAGUCUUUCACUACAACAAUCAUCUAACCCCCAUUACAAAUUGAAAUCAGCCUUUUUUAUCUGAGCCGCACCCCAAAAAAUAAUAAAUCUCCUAAAAAUCCAAAUAAAAUAAAAUCAAAAUCUCUAAAUAAAUAAAACUACUUCCUCUUAUUUGCUGCCUCUACUGCCAUUUUGAUCAAUUUUUCGCAGGUAUGGAGAUCGUGGAAGACGUGCGAGCAAUGUCAUGGGAUAAUGAACAGUUGCUGAACGUGGGNNNNN
rnacentral:lncRNA from 1 species